rfam:Capsicum annuum cultivar Zunla-1 chromosome 4, whole genome shotgun sequence
AAAAAGGCCUUAACAGGCCACCAAAAAUUUAAAAAAAAAUAGUAU